UACGUAGGCAGCAAGCGUUGUUCGGAGUUACUGGGCGUAAAGGGUGCGUAGGCGGCCUUAUAAGUAUGGUGUGAAAUCUCCCGGCUUAACUGGGAGGGUGCGCUAUAGACUGUGGGGCUAGAGUGUGGGAGAGGAAAGUGGAAUUCCUGGUGUAGCGGUGAAAUGCGUAGAUAUCAGGAGGAACACCGGUGGUGUAGACGGCUCUCUGGACCGUAACUGACGCUGAGGCACGAAAGCGUGGGUAGCAAACAGG
rnacentral:rRNA from 1 species